GAGUAAGGGCGUGUGGUGGAUGCCUUGACUGAAGAAGGCGAUGAAGGACGCGGCUUAGCUGCGAUACGCUUCGGGGAGCUGCCAAGCAAGCUUUGAUCCGGAGAUUUCCGAAUGGGGAAACCCUGUCGAGUACACCUCGACAACUCUCUAGUUAAACGCCAGAGAGAGCAGACCGUGGGAAGUGAAACAUCUCAGUACCACGAGGAAAAGAGACCAAUAGGUAUUCCCUUAGUAGCGGCGAGCGAAACGGGAAAAGCACAAACUCAGCCACAAUAUCAACGCGCGAUCUUUUUCGCGAUUUGAUAUUGGGGAUGGGGGUUAUAAGGCUACAGCGCUGGCAACAGGUAGAGUCACAAAUUGCUUAGUUAGUGGAACGAGCUGGGAAGCUCGACUCCAAAGGGUAAUAGUCCCGUACACGAAAACAAAGCAACUCUAUGGCUGUAGUUCUUGAGUAGCUCGAGACAUGAAUAGCUCGGGUGAAUUCGUCAGUACUAACUGAUAAUGCUACAUACUUCUUCAGAUCGAUAGUGAACAAGUACCGUGAGGGAAAGGUGAAAAGAACCCCGGUGAGGGGAGUGAAAUAGAACUGAAACCACAU
rnacentral:rRNA from 1 species